rnacentral:rRNA from 1 species
GACGAACGCUGGCGGCGUGCUUAACACAUGCAAGUCGAACGGUGAAGCGCCUUCCUUUUUGGUGGGUGUGGAUGAGUGGCGAACGGGUGAGUAACACGUGAGUAACCUGCCCCCUUCUUCUGGAUAACCGCAUGAAAGUGUGGCUAAUACGGGAUAUUCUGGGUCUGUCGCAUGAUGGGUCUGGGAAAGAUAUUGUUUCGGUGGGGGAUGGGCUCGCGGCCUAUCAGCUUGUUGGUGGGGUGAUGGCCUACCAAGGCGGUGACGGGUAGCCGGCCUGAGAGGGUGGACGGUCACACUGGGACUGAGACACGGCCCAGACUGCGACGGGAGGCAGCAGUGGGGAAUAUUGCACAAUGGGCGCAAGCCUGAUGCAGCGACGCCGCGUGAGGGAUGGAGGCCUUCGGGUUGUGAACCUCUUUCGCCAGUGAAGCAGGCCUGCCUCGUUUGUGGGUGGGUUGACGGUAGCUGGAUAAGAAACGCCGGCUAACUACGU